rnacentral:misc_RNA from 1 species
ACGGGGACUUCCCGCACAAAGCGGUGGAUCAUUGUUUGUUAAUUUCGAAGAAUACACGAAAAAACCUUACCCAGGUCUUGACAUACUCUGCAAGCUAUAGCAAUAUAGUGGAGGUUAUCAGGGAUACAGGUGGUGCAUGGGUUGUCGUCAGCUCGUGUCGUGAGAUGUUAGGUUAAGUCCUAAAAACGAGCGCAACCCUUGUCAUUAGUUGCCAGCAUGUCAUGAUGGGCACUUUAAUGAGACUGCCAAUGAAAAAUUGGAGGAAGGUGAGGAUCACGUCAAAUCAUCAUGCCCCUUAUGAUCUGGGCUACAAACGUGAUACAAUGGCUGUUACAAAGAGUAGCUGAAACGCAAGUUUAUAGCCAAUCUCAUAAAAGCAGUCUCAGUUCGGAUUGAAGUCUGCAACUCGACUUCAUGAAGUUGGAAUCGCUAGUAAUCGCGAAUCAGCAUGUCGCGGUGAAUACGUUCUCGGGGUUUGUACACACCGCCCGUCAAACCACGAAAGUUGGUAAUACUCAAAAACGGUAGCCUAACUUCUUCGGAAGAGGGAACCGUCUAAGGUAGGAUCGAUGAUUGGGGUUAAGUCGUAACAAGGUAUCCCUACCGGAAGGUGGGGAUGGAUCACCUCCUUUCUAAGGAAUAAUUUUUUAAAUAUUCAUCUUCAGUUUUGAAAGACUUAGUUCUUAUAAGUUUUUCUUUUUUAAGGAAAAGAAAAUGGGCCUAUAGCUCAGUUGGUUAGAGCACACGCCUGAUAAGCGUGAGGUCGAUGGUUCAAGUCCAUUUAGGCCCACCAACUGAAAAAAAGGUCUUUUUUCUAAUUCUUAAAAGAAAAAGUUCUUUGAAAAGUAGAUAAACAAAGUAUUUUUUUAAAAAUCAAAGGAAUCCAAGGGGGC